rnacentral:rRNA from 1 species
UACGUACUGUGCGAACGUUAUUCGGAAUCACUGGGCUUAAAGGGUGCGUAGGCGGCGAUUCAAGUCAGAUGUGAAAUGCCUGAGCUCAACUGAGGCAUUGCGUUUGAAACUGAAUUGCUAGAGUAUUUCAGGGGUGUGCGGAACUGCCAGUGGAACGGUGAAAUGUGUUGAUAUUGGCAGGAACACCGGAGGCGAAGGCGGCACACUGGGGAAUAACUGACGCUGAGGCACGAAAGCCAAGGGAGCGAACGGG